rnacentral:miRNA from 1 species
UUGACAACGUGACAACACAAC